rnacentral:sRNA from 1 species
CGACAUGAGAGACUGUGUUCGCUGGCCGCUGGACUAUUUUAUCAAGGCACACCCCCAGAAAUAUGUAUUCUACGGGCAGGUGGGUGACCCGUAUUUAGACCACACCUACUGGGGCAGACCGGAAGACAUGGAUAUGGAAAGACCCGCCUACAAACUGACACCGGAAGCUCCUGGAAGUGACGUCAUUGCAGAGACAGCCGCUGCUAUGGCUGCCGGCUACAUGGCUUUUAAGGUAGUAGAUCCAGCUUAUGCCAAAUUACUUUUGAAGCAUGCACAAGAACUUUUUGAGUUUGCUGAGAACUUCAGGGG